GUCUCUUACUUCUCCUGCAUUGGCAGGCGGGUUCUUUACCGCUAGCGCCGCCUUUCAGCCAGGCCCUUCACCCGCACCAAGGACUCACCGGUCCUGGCGUCCAGCAGUCCCACAGAUGACGUUCAUGUUCUCAAAGCGGAUGCUGCUCACGCGCCCACUCUCCAUGGCCCCGGGGAACUCGGCUUCCAGGGCCUCCAGCACCUCCACGUGGGUAAGGUCCUCUUCAGGCUGGGGAUGUCGGGGACGCCCGAGUUAAGUUCAGGUGCAAAAGUCCCCACCCUAGACCCCACCUGCAGAGCCUGCCAGAGCGAGGAGGAUAGGAAUCUUUCAGGUAGAAAAGCAUCUGCUGCCAUUCUAGGUCAUUCUCAGAAAAACAAAAUCAAUCCUCACCAAGCCGAUUUGCCAAAAGUCAAUGAACAGUCGGCUGAAUGAUUCACCAGUUGGCCAACUUUGCCUAUCUAUUGAAAACUUUUCCAGCAACCUGCGUUGGAUGGUGAGGUUUUGGCAGCCCUUGAAGAUUUCCGCAAGGAUUUAAGCUGUACAUUUUUCCUUUUAUAGUCAUAUUAGCAUUUUAAGGACUGUUACUUUGUCAAUAAAUAAGGAUCGUAGGGGAGGGUUUGA